GCCCGUAUAGCUCAGUGGUAGAGCAUUGUACUUAUGAGGUUAUCAAUCAUUGGCCAUUGUCAUGCAAGGGUCUCGAGUUCGAAUCUCGGUAUGGGCA